rnacentral:rRNA from 1 species
UACAGAGGGUGCGAGCGUUAAUCGGAAUUACUGGGCGUAAAGCGUGCGUAGACGGUUAUUUAAGUCGGGUGUGAAAGCCCCGGGCUCAACCUGGGAAUUGCAUUCGAGACUGAAUAGCUAGGGUACGGUAGAGGGAAGCGGAAUUUCCGGUGUAGCGGUGAAAUGCGUAGAUAUCGGAAGGAACAUCAGUGGCGAAAGCGGCUCCCUCGGACCAGUACCGACGUUCAGGCACGAAAGCGUGGGGAGCAAACAGG